AUGCAUAGAGAUGAAAGAUUUAGAAAGGUGAAGAAUAUUUCCCAACUUUCAGCCAAGCUUGUUGAGACAAAGAACAUAUCACAUGUCAUUGUUUACAAGCUUCUCAAGUUGGUGUUAAUUCUCCCGGUGGCGAAUGCUAGUGUUGAGAGGGUCUUCUCUUCGAUGAAUUAAGAAUAGUUAAGAGCCAAAAUGGGGGAACAAUAUUUUGCUUGGUUACUUUUCUUGCGCUUAAAUUCUUCAUGCAACUAA
rnacentral:rRNA from 1 species